UAUCGAAGAUGUUCGAGAUGGAUUUUCCAUAUUCUUGGCAAGAAAUGUCGAAGGCCAUUUCCAUCUUGCAUGUACAAAUGCAUACGAGGGAAGUAUUGGUCAUCUGAUGCACUUUACACUCAUUUCAAAUAUGCCAAGUAAAUUGAAAUUGGAUUUGAGGUAGGACAGUCGCUUAUUGGUUUGGCCACAGCUUUUUCUCCUUUGUGAGCUUUAGGGUAUGCAACUGACCAUCUUUUAUCACCUUUUUGUGUUGUUGCUUGGGGUCUAUUAGCAUUUUCAUAAUAAUGUAAAUUUGCACAAAAUAACCUGAAAAAUUCACAAUGGGUAACUGUAUAGGCUGGAAUAACACAUUACUCUUUAUUGGUCAAAUCAACCCUUUUUUAAAGUAAAAUAUGUGAGAAAAAAUGCAUGUUUUCACCUGGCCAUGAUUGAGUGAUAUGGAUAGUAUGUAUUUUUUGAUGCAAAAAGAUUAUCAAGUGAAUGUUUUGCCUCCAAGCCUGAUGUUUGUUGGUGACUUGACAACUUUCUAACUGCACUUAUCAAUCUUGGUCUUGAAAUAAGUUCAGUUAGUUUCUUAUGAGCUGCACUACCUUAAAAAGUAUAAAGAGGUCAGUCUUAUGAAUAGAUUGAUAGGAAGCAAGAUUAUAAUAUACAUGCAAAUGCUUCGAGACCUGUUAAAGAACAGGUGCCCCGUGCA